UACAGGGGGUGCAAACGUUGCUCGGAAUCAUUGGGCGUAAAGCGCACGUAGGCGGUCUGUUAUGUCGGAUGUGAAAGCCCUUGGCUUAACUGAGGAAGUGCAUCCGAAACUGCAAUGCUCGAAUUGUGGAGAGGUAAGUGGAAUUCCGAGUGUAGAGGUGAAAUUCGUAGAUAUUCGGAAGAACACCAGUGGCGAAGGCGACUUACUGGACACAUAUUGACGCUGAGGUGCGAAAGCGUGGGGAGCAAACAGG
rnacentral:rRNA from 1 species